rnacentral:rRNA from 1 species
CUGCGACCCCAGGUCAGGCGGGAUCACC